rnacentral:rRNA from 1 species
GAUGAACGCUAGCGAUAGGCUUAACACAUGCAAGUCGAGGGGCAGCAUGGUCUUAGCUUGCUAAGACUGAUGGCGACCGGCGCACGGGUGCGUAACGCGUAUGCAACUUACCUCACAGAGGGGGAUAACCCGUCGAAAGACGGACUAAUACCGCGUACACUCCAUCUUGGGCAUCCAAGGUAGAGGAAAUGAAAUUCGCUGUGAGAUAGGCAUGCGUCCCAUUAGCUCGUUGGUGAGGUAACGGCUCACCAAGGCGACGAUGGGUAGGGGAACUGAGAGGUUGAACCCCCACACUGGUACUGAGACACGGACCAGACUCCUACGGGAGGCAGCAGUGAGGAAUAUUGGUCAAUGGGCGAGAGCCUGAACCAGCCAAGUCGCGUGAAGGAUGACUGUCUUAUGGAUUGUAAACUUCUUUUAAACGGGAAUAACAAGAGUCACGUGUGACUCCCUGCAUGUACCGUAUGAAUAAGCAUCGGCUAACUCCGUG